AUAAAAAUACCAUUUUCUGACAAUCUUUAAAACUUAAAAUGUUCAUCAAUUUUAAGAGACUCAGUAAAAAGAACUUGUCUAAGAUCAUUAUAAACAGGACAAUGUAAAAUAACAUGAUAUUCAUCUUCGACAGUAUUAAAACAAUUAAAACAACAUCUCUCUUCCAGCGGCAAAUUUUCAUACCUCCCAGUUUCCAGUCUAAUAGGAGCCACCCCACAUCUAAAUUUUGCAAAGGCGCUUCUUUCACAAAAAGGCACUAACAGUUUGCAGUAGUUUUCAACAACAUACUCCUGCUUAAAAAUAUUAUAGGUUCUCAAUUUAUUACGCCCAUUUCCCCGUCUGGAAGAGGAUGAACUAACAAUACUUUUCCAUUCUUCAAUAUAAUUAUCAAACAUUCUUAACAUGACUGUAUCAA
rnacentral:lncRNA from 1 species